CCGCACCGCACAUUCGCUAGAUGGCAGUUGAUUCGAAGCUAGAUUCGAGGGACGUAUGGUUGCUAGGUUGUAUGGUUGCCUGCCUAACAAAACAAAAAGAAGAAGUAAAGCUUCCUAAGAGCGGUUUGAGCAGAACAUCUAUACUCAUGGCGAUUUAGAAUAAUGCAAGCCCAAAAUCAAACCAGAUUUGAAACUUCGCUGUGAUCUUUUGCUAAUUUCUCGCAAGUGAAAUUCGUCGGCAAGGGACUGUAUUGUUGCAAAACUCCAAACACGCAUAGUAGUAUCCAAUCUAUUUUGCAAACCAGGAACUGAUAUAUGUACUGUGUUUGUGUAUAAAGAGGCUCAUAUAUGAGAAAAAGAAAAAUGGCUCGAAAUCAUUUGAUUACGUGCAGUGUAAGUAUAGAUAGAACUUAGAUUAGAAAAAAAGAUAAAAUAUUUUGAUGUUCCGAGAGAGCAUAAUGGUAUUCGUUCCUAUGUUAUCAAAUAAUGAUUCAUCUUA